AGUGGGACAGCUAGAUCAAAUGGUGAUUCCAUUACAAAUUUUCUAAGGAAUCUCUAAACUGCUUUCCAGAGUGGUUGCAUCAAUUUGCAGUCCCACCAGCAGU
rnacentral:pre_miRNA from 1 species